rnacentral:rRNA from 1 species
UAGGGAAUCUUCCGCAAUGGACGAAAGCCUGACGGAGCAACGCCGCGUGAGUGAUGAAGGUCUUCGGAUCGUAAAACUCUGUUAUUAGGGAAGAACAAAUGUGUAAGUAACUAUGCACGUCUUGACGGUACCUAAUCAGAAAGCCACGGCUAACUACGUGCCAGCAGCCGCGGUAAUACGUAGGUGGCAAGCGUUAUCCGGAAUUAUUGGGCGUAAAGCGCGCGUAGGCGGUUUUUUAAGUCUGAUGUGAAAGCCCACGGCUCAACCGUGGAGGGUCAUUUGAAUCUUGACAACUUUAGUUCCGACGCGGAAAGUGGAAUUCCAUGUUUAUCAGUUAAAUGCGCAUCGAUAUGGCGGACCUCCCGUGGCGAAGGCGACUUUCUGGUCUGUAACUGACCCUGAUGUGCGAAAGCGUGGGGAUCAAACAGG